rnacentral:rRNA from 1 species
UACGUAGGGUGCAAGCGUUGUCCGGAAUUAUUGGGCGUAAAGAGCUCGUAGGCGGUCUGUCGCGUCGGCUGUGAAAACUCGGGGCUCAACUCCGAGCCUGCAGUCGAUACGGGCAGACUAGAGUGCUGUAGGGGAGACUGGAAUUCCUGGUGUAGCGGUGAAAUGCGCAGAUAUCAGGAGGAACACCGGUGGCGAAGGCGGGCAUCCUGGGCCGUAACUGACUCGUGGAGGAAGCGGAAAGCCAG